rnacentral:rRNA from 1 species
AUACGUAGGGGGCGAGCGUUGUCCGGAAUUACUGGGCGUAAAGCGCGCGUAGGCGGACUAUUAAGUCAGAUGUGAAAACUCUGGGCUCAACCGAGAGCAUGCAUCUGAUACUGGUAGUCUUGAGUGUAGAAGAGGAGAGUGGAAUUCCUAGUGUAGCGGUGAAAUGCGUAGAUAUUAGGAGGAACACCAGUGGCGAAGGCGACUCUCUGGUCUAUAACUGACGCUGAGGCGCGAAAGCGUGGGUAGCAAACAGGAUUAGAUACCCUGGUAGUCCACGCCGUAAACGAUGGGUACUAGGUGUUGGGGGUUUCGACGCCCUCAGUGCCGCAGUAAACACAAUAAGUACCCCGCCUGGGGAGUACGGUCGCAAGACUGAA